AUUGAACGCUGGCGGCAUGCCUAACACAUGCAAGUCGAACGGCAACAGGUUUUAACGUAAGUUAAGAUGCUGGCGAGUGGCGCACGGGUGAGUAAGGCGCAGGAAUAUAUCUUAAAGAGGGGGACAACUUGGGGAAACUCAAGCUAAUACCGCGUAAUCUCUGUGGAGAAAAGCUGGGGACCGUAAGGCCUGGCGCUUUAAGGAUAGCCUGCGUCCGAUUAGCUAGUUGGUGGGGUAAAGGCCUACCAAGGCGAUGAUCGGUAGCUGGUCUGAGAGGACGAUCAGCCACACUGGGACUGAGACACGGCCCAGACUCCUACGGGAGGCAGCAGUGGGGAAUAUUGGACAAUGGGGGGAACCCUGAUCCAGCGAUGCCGCGUGUGUGAAGAAGGCCUGAGGGUUGUAAAGCACUUUCGGUGGGGAGGAGGAUUGAUUGGUUAAGAGCUGAUUAAUUGGACGUUACCCACAGAAGAAGCACCGGCUAACUCCGUGCCAGCAGCCGCAGUAACAC
rnacentral:rRNA from 1 species